ACCACGGGUAGCCCUACAUGGAAGUUGUACAGCCAGCAGAGAGCACAGGAGCAGAGUUAUGGCAAGAGGCACAUCACCGGGUCUCUGAUGAGAUCAGCCAUGGAUACUGUGGAGUGAGAAGGAAGUCCCUUAUCACAGCACACAUGGGUCGUGUAGCUGGCCAUGGGUGACACUGAUCGCUCCAGCAGACACGACGUGCUGCCACUGUGUCAUGCAUGGCGCCUCGGCAGAUGCGCUCCUC
rnacentral:lncRNA from 1 species